rnacentral:rRNA from 1 species
GGGUUGUGAGGUUAAGCGACUAAGCGUACACGGUGGAUGCCCUGGCAGUCAGAGGCGAUGAAGGGCGUGCUAAUCUGCGAUAAGCGCCGGUAAGGUGAUAUGAACCGUUAUAACCGGCGAUACCCGAAUGGGGAAACCCAGUGUGAUUCGUCACACUAUCAUUAACUGAAUCCAUAGGUUAAUGAGGCGAACCGGGGGAACUGAAACAUCUAAGUACCCCGAGGAAAAGAAAUCAACCGAGAUUCCCCCAGUAGCGGCGAGCGAACGGGGAGGAGCCCAGAGCCUGAAUCAGCAUGUGUGUUAGUGGAAGCGUCUGGAAAGGCGCGCGAUACAGGGUGACAGCCCCGUACACAAAAGCGCAUGUGCUGUGAGCUCGAUGAGUAGGGCGGGACACGUGGUAUCCUGUCUGAAUAUGGGGGGACCAUCCUCCAAGGCUAAAUACUCCUGACUGACCGAUAGUGAACCAGUACCGUGAGGGAAAGGCGAAAAGAACCCCGGCGAGGGGAGUGAAAAAGAACCUGAAACCGUGUACGUACAAGCAGUGGGAGCACCCUUUGGGUGUGACUGCGUACCUUUUGUAUAAUGGGUCAGCGACUUAUAUUCUGUAGCAAGGUUAACCGAAUAGGGGAGCCGGAGGGAAACCGAGUCUUAACCGGGCGUUAAGUUGCAGGGUAUAGACCCGAAACCCGGUGAUCUAGCCAUGGGCAGGUUGAAGGUUGGGUAACACUAACUGGAGGACCGAACCGACUAAUGUUGAAAAAUUAGCGGAUGACCUGUGGCUGGGGGUGAAAGGCCAAUCAAACCGGGAGAUAGCUGGUUCUCCCCGAAAGCUAUUUAGGUAGCGCCUCGUGAAUUCAUCUCCGGGGGUAGAGCACUGUUUCGGCUAGGGGGCCAUCCCGGCUUACCAACCCGAUGCAAACUGCGAAUACCGGAGAAUGUUAUCACGGGAGACACACGGCGGGUGCUAACGUCCGUCGUGAAGAGGGAAACAACCCAGACCGCCAGCUAAGGUCCCAAAGUCAUGGUUAAGUGGGAAACGAUGUGGGAAGGCCCAGACAGCCAGGAUGUUGGCUUAGAAGCAGCCAUCAUUUAAAGAAAGCGUAAUAGCUCACUGGUCGAGUCGGCCUGCGCGGAAGAUGUAACGGGGCUAAACCAUGCACCGAAGCUGCGGCAGCGACACUGUGUGUUGUUGGGUAGGGGAGCGUUCUGUAAGCCUGUGAAGGUGUGUCGUGAGGCAUGCUGGAGGUAUCAGAAGUGCGAAUGCUGACAUAAGUAACGAUAAAGCGGGUGAAAAGCCCGCUCGCCGGAAGACCAAGGGUUCCUGUCCAACGUUAAUCGGGGCAGGGUGAGUCGACCCCUAAGGCGAGGCCGAAAGGCGUAGUCGAUGGGAAACGGGUUAAUAUUCCCGUACUUGGUGUUACUGCGAAGGGGGGACGGAGAAGGCUAUGUUGGCCGGGCGACGGUUGUCCCGGUUUAAGCGUGUAGGUGUGUGUUCCAGGUAAAUCCGGUUCACUUUAACACUGAGGCGUGACGACGAGGCACUACGGUGCUGAAGCAACAAAUGCCCUGCUUCCAGGAAAAGCCUCUAAGCAUCAGGUAACAUCAAAUCGUACCCCAAACCGACACAGGUGGUCAGGUAGAGAAUACCAAGGCGCUUGAGAGAACUCGGGUGAAGGAACUAGGCAAAAUGGUGCCGUAA